GGUCAUUUAGCUUUUCAUGGCAGUCCAGAUUUGGAUGCGUCCAUGGACGUCAAGAUCUCGAUGUACUCGACUCUGUUUCUUUCUUCCAUCAUUCUCGAUACAUGGAUCCACGGCUCUGUUUUACUGUUUUCAACUCUGUGACAGGGGAUCUAAAGGGACGAAGAUGAAGGGAGGAAGGGCAAAAAAAGAAGAAGAAGGUCGUGAAGUAGAAACCCGACCCGACUUGAACCGUCAUUUCAGUUCAGGUUCUGUAUAGUUCGGGUCAUAAAAAUUAUAUAUUGUUCGUGUACAAGGUUGUUCAGGUAUCAAUAAAAUCCGAACCGAACCGACGUGUUAACA